GAUAGUCUGUUCAAAAUUAGUAAACUUAUGUGGAACUGUCUACCCAUCCUCAGAAUGGAAGGAACGUACUGCAGAGGCAUUAGUAGAUGCAUUUCCAUUGUUAAAAUCAAAAAGAUUCCCACAUGGGCAUGAAAGCUUCUAUGAUAAGACCACAGGAAUAAGCUUUAUAGAAUAGGCCUGAAAACGCUUAGGAAGUCCAUCAAAGAAAAAAAGGAUUAGCCAAAACUUCAAAAAUCUGCAGAAUAGAACCAUCUCUUGAAACAGAACGUUUGACUAAAGAGGAUUUAGAAGAAAAGAACCCAAUAGACAGGCGAUUUCAGAUAUAUUGUCUGAAACAAUGGCUGACAGACAAACUGAAAUAAGAGAUUCAGGCAUGACCAUAACAGAUGUUUUAGAGAGAUAUCCCAGGCUACAAGAUUAUAGAGGAGAUAUGAUUGAUGCAGAAUUUUUACGCAUGCAUCCCAAUUCAGACACUUUCUUGGGAAAGUUUUCAUCUUUUUAUGUCCCAAGAAUUUUGAGAUAUGCUGAAUCAAAACGGCCUGAUCUUCUGGUACCAAGUAUUGCUGAUUUCAGUGAUGAUCUAAAAGCAUUAGUUUUGCUCCCAGAACUUUUGCCCAGCCCAAAUUAUGGUAAAGGAAGAGG
rnacentral:lncRNA from 1 species